rnacentral:lncRNA from 1 species
UUAUGGCCUCUUUUUUCUUUUCUCUUUUUUUAUUAUUUUUGUCCGGAGUCUCAUCCCGACUGGUGGGAGAAUCAUAGUCUCCAUCAUCCUUUCCUCACUGGGACAAUGCUCUAAAAAUGAAGAUCAUCACACUUUUAUUUACUUACAACUCAAGAAUUACAACUCGAUACUUAGAACAAAAUAUGACUCUAUAUGAAUGCCUCCGGCGGUGUACCGGGAUAUGCCAUGAAUAAAGAGUGACAUGUAUGAAAGAAUUAUGAACGGUGGCUUUGCCACAAAUACGAUGUCAACUACAUGAUCAUGCAAAGCAAUAUGACAAUGAUGAUGCGUGUCAUAAUAAACGGAACGGUGGAAAGUUGCAUGGCAAUAUAUCUCGGAAUGGCUAUGGAAAUGCCAUAAUAGGUAGAUAUGGUGGCUGUUUUGAGGAAGGUAGAUGGUGGGUUUAUGGUAUCGGCGAGAGUUGCGCGGCACAAGAGAGGCUAGCAAUGGUGGAAGGGUGAGAGUGCGUAUAAUCCAUGGACUCAACAUUAGUCAUAAAGAACUCACAUACUUAUUGCAAAAAUCUACAAGUCAUCAAAUCAAAGUACUACACGCAUGCUCCUAGGGUAAGCGUUGGUAGGAGUUAACCAUCGCGCGAUUCUGACCUCCACUCAUAAGGAUGACAAUCAAUAAAUACCUCAUGCUCCAACUUCAUCACAUAACGGUUCACCAUACGUGCAUGCUACGGGAAUCACAAACUUUAACACAAGUAUCUCUCAAAUUCACAACUAAUCCACUAGCAUGACUCUAAUAUCACCAUCUUCAUAUCUCAAAACAAUCAUAAAGAAUCAAACUUCUCAUAGUAUUCAAUGCACUUUAUAUGAAAGUUUUUAUUAUAUCCCUCUUGGAUGCCCAUCAUAUUAGGACUAAAUUCAUAACGAAAGCAAAUUACCAUGUUGUUAUAAAAGACUCUCAAAAUAAUACAAAUGAAGCAUGAGAGUUCAUCUAUUUCUUCAAAAUAAAACCACCGUCGUGCUCUAAAAAGAUAUAACUGAAGCACUAGAGGAAAUGACAAACUACUCCGAAAGAUAUAAGUGAAGAUCAAUGAGUAGUUGAAUAAUUAUGUAACUAUGUGAAGACUCUCUAGCAUUUAAGAAUUUCAGAUCUUGGGAUAUUAUUCAAACAGAAAGCAAAGCAAAACAAAUGACAUUUCAAGGAUAGCACACAUCAUGUGAAGAAGCAAAAACUUAGGUUCAACCGAUACUAACCGAUAAUUGUUGAAGAAGAAAGGUGGGAUGCCUACCGGGGCAUCCCCAAGCUUAGAUGCUUGAUACUUCUUGAAAUAUUAUCUUGGGAUGCCUUGGGCAUCCCCAAGCUUGAGCUUUUGUGUCUCCUUAAUUCCUUUUAUAUCUCGGUUUCCCUAAAUCUCAAAAACUUCAUCCACACAAAACUCAACAAGAACUCGUGAGAUAAGUUAGUAUAAACCAAUGCAAAAACCUUAUCAUUCUCUACUGUAGCAAAUCACAAAAAUUAUUAUUCAACAUUGCAUACUAAAUUCCUCUGCAUAUUUAAUACUCCUAUCCUCAAAUAGAAUCAUUAAACAAGCAAGCAUAUGCAAACAAUGCAAACAUAACAGCAAUCUGCCAAAACAGUACAGUUUGUAAAGAAUGCAAGAGUAUCAAUACUUCCCUAACUCCAAACAUUAUGAAAUUCUACCACACUGUAGAAAAUUUAUCAGAGCUUAUUAUGCAAAAACUUUCAACAUUUUAUCAUAUUCUGGCUUUUCUAGGGAAUUUUUGCAACAGCGAUAAACUUUCUGUUUUGAAACAGCAACAAGUAUACUUGCAAAAUAAGCAUGGUAAAGGCUAUCCUUGACAUUUUUAUUGAAAAGAAAGAUGCAAAACAUUAUUCUAAAUAACUGCAAGCAAACCCUAACAAAAUAAAAUUACGGUCCAAGCAAAAACACAUAUCAUGUGGUGAAUAAAAAUAUAGCUCCAAGUAAAGUUACCGAUGAACGAAGACGAAAGAGGGGAUGCCAUCCGGGAUGCCAUACGGGGCAUCCCCAAGCUUAGGCUUUUGGUUGUUCUUGAAUAUUACCUUGGGGUGCCUUGGUCAUCCCCAAGCUUAGGCUCUUAUUCCAUAGUCCAUCGAAUCUUUACCGAAAACUUGAAAACUUCACAACACAAAACUUAACAGAAAACUCGUAAGCUCCGUUAGUAUAAGAAAAUAAAUCACCACUUAGGUACUGUUGUGAACUCAUUCUAAAUUCAUAUUGGUGUAAUAUCUACUGUAUUCCAUCUUCUCUAUGGUUCAUACCCUCCGAUACUACUCAUAGAUUCAUCAAAAUAAGCAAACUACACAUAGAAAACAGAAUCUGUCAAAAACAGAACAGUCUGUAGUAAUCUAUAUCAAACGUAUACUUAUGGAACUCCAAAAAUUCUACCAAAUUAGGAAGUCCUAAGAAAUUUGUUUAUUAAUCUUCUGCAAAAAGAAUCAACUGAAAAGCACGUUCCUGUGAUUUAUGAAAACUAAUCUCGUGCGCGCAAAAGUUUCUGUUUUUCAGCAAGAUCAAAUUAACUAUCACCGUAGGUUAUCCUAAAGGUCUUACUUGGCACUUUAUUGAAACAAAAGCUAUAAAACAUGAUUACUACAGUAGCAUAAUCAUGUUAACACGCAAAAAUAAUAAAGGUAAAUAUUGGGUUGUCUCCCAACAAGCGCUUUUCUUUAAUGCCUUUCUAGCUAGGCAUGAUGAUGACAAUGAUGCUCACAUAAAAGAUAAGAAUUGAAACAUAACGGGAGCAUCAUGAAGCAUAUGACUAGCACAUUUAAGCCUAACUCACUUCCUAUGCAUAUGGAUUUUGUGAGCAAACAACUUAUGGGAACAAGAAUCAACUAGCAUAGGAAAGCAAAACAAGCAUAGCUUCAAGAUUUUCAACACAUAGAGUGGAAACUUGAUAUUAUUGCAAUUCCUACAAGCAUAUAUUCCUCCCUCAUAAUAAUUUUCAGUAGCAUCAUGAAUGAGUUCAACAAUAUAACCAUCACAUAAAGCAUUAUUUUCAUGAUGCACAAGCAUAUAAAUUUUACUACUCUCCACAUAAGCAAAUUUAUUCUCAUCAAUAGUAGUGGGAGCAAACUCAACAAAAUAAUUAUCAUGUGAAGCAUAAUCCAAUUGAAAAUUAAAAUCAUGAUGACAAAUUUCAUGGUUAUCUUUAUUCUUUAUAGCAUACGUGUCAUCACAAUAAUCAUCAUAAAUAGGAGGUAUGCUUUCAUCAUAAUAAAUUUGCUCAUCAAAACUUGGGGGACUAAACAUAUCAUCUUCAUCAAACAUAGCAUCCCCAAGCUUGUAGCUUUGCAUAUCAUUAGCAUCAUGGAUAUUCAAAGAAUUCAUACUAACAACAUUGCAAUCAUGCUCAUCAUUCAAAGAUUUAGUGCCAAACAUUUUAAUGCAUUCUUCCUCUAGCAAUUGAGCACAAUUAUCGGAAUCCUUAUUUUCACGGAAGAUAUUAAAAAGAUGAAGCAUAUGAGGCACCUCAAUUCCAGUUUUUUUGUAAUUUUCUUUUAUAGACUAAACUAGUGAUAAAACAAGAAACUAAAAGAUUCGAUUGCAAUAUCUAAAGAUAUACCUUCAAGCACUCACCUCCCCAGCAACAGCGCCAGAAAAGAGCUUGAUGUCUACCACACAACCUUCUUCUUGUAGACGUUGUUGGGCCUCCAAGUGCAGAGGUUUGUAGGACAGUAGCAAAUUUCCCUCAAGUGGAUGACCUAAGGUUUAUCAAUCCGUGGGAGGUGUAGGAUGAAGAUGGUCUCUCUCAAGCAACCCUGCAACCAAAUAACAACGAGUCUCUUGUGUCCCCAACACACCCAAUACAAUGGCAAAUUAUAUAGGUGCACUAGUUCGGCGAAGAGAUGGUGAUACAAGUGCAAUAUGGAUGGUAGAUAUAGGUUUUUGUAAUCUGAAAAUAUAAAAACAGCAAGGUAACAAGUGGUAAAAGUGAGCGUAAAUGGUAUUACAAUGCUAGGAAACAAGGCCUAGGGUUCAUACUUUCACUAGUGCAAGUUCUCUCAACAAUAAAAACAUAAUUGGAUCAUAUAACUAUCCCUCAACAUGCAACAAAGAGUCACUCCAAAGUCACUAAUAGCGAAGAACAAACGAAGACAUUAUUGUAGGGUACGAAACCACCUCAAAGUUAUUCUUUCUGAUCGAUCUAUUCAAGAGUCCGUAGUAAAAUAACACGAAGCUAUUCUUUCCGUUCGAUCUAUCCUAGAGUUCCUACUAGAAUAACACCUUAAGACACAAAUCAACCAAAACCCUAAUGUCACCUAGAUACUCCAAUGUCACCUCAAGUAUCCGUGGGUAUGAUUAUAUGAUAUGCAUCACACAAUCUCAGAUUCAUCUAUUCAACCAACACAAACAACUUCAAAGAGUGCCCCAAAAUUUCUACCGGAGGGUCAAGACGAAAAUGUGUGCCAACCCCUAUGCAUAAGUUCACAAGGUCACUGAACCCACAAAUUGAUCACCAAAACAUACAUCAAGUAGAUCACGUGAAUAUCCCAUUGUCACCACAGAUAAGCACAUGCAAGACAUACAUCAAGUGUUCUCAAAUCCUUAAAGACUCAAUCCGAUAAGAUAACUUCAAAGGGAAAACUCAAUCCAUUACAAGAGAGUAGAGAGGGAGAAACAUAAUAAGAUCCAACUAUAAUAGCAAAGCUCGCGGUACAUCAAGAUCAUGCCAAAUCAAGAACACGAGAGAGAGAGAGAGAGAGAGAGAGAGAGAGAGAGAGAUCAAACACAUAGCUACUGGUACAUACCCUCACCCCUGAGGGUGAACUACUCCCUCCUCGUCAUGGAGAGCACCGGGAUGAUGAAGAUGGCCACCGGAGAGGGAUUCCCCCCUCCGGAAGGGUGCCAGAACGGGUCUAGAUUGGUUUUUGGUGGCUACAGAGGCUUGCGGCGGCGGAACUCCCGAUCUAGGUUAUUUUCUGGAGGUUUCUGUAUUUAUAGGAAUUUUUUGCGUAGGUCUCAUGUCAGGGGGGUCUCUGAGUCGUCCACGAGAUAGAGGCCCACGCCCAGGGGGUGGGCGCGCCCUCCACCCUAGUGGAUGGCUCGGGACUCUUCUGGCCCAACUCUUUCACUCCGGGGGCAUCUUUUGGUCCAUAAAAAAUGAUCAAAAAUUGGCACAUCAACUGGACUCCGUUUGGUAUUUCUUUUCUGUAAAACUCAAAAACAAGGAAAAAACAGAAACUGGCACUGGGCUCUAGGUUAAUAGGUUAGUCCCAAAAAUCAUAUAAAAUAGCAUAUAAAUGCAUAUAAAACAUCAAAGAUGGAUAAUAUAAUAGCAUGGAACAAUCAAAAAUUAUAGAUACAUUGGAGACGUAUCAGCGAGCUUUAUAUCGGGACGCAGUCCUUCACGGAAUUUCUCCUGCUUGCGAGCGUCAGUGCAGACGUCAUCCGUAACAUAGCGGGAUAAUUCAAGGAAUUUCCUUUGAUAUUCAUCUAUAGUCAUUAUGCCCUGUGAGAGUUUGCGGAACUCCUUCUUCUUCUGUUCCAUCAGACCUUGAGGAAUGUGCCGUGCUCAAACUGACGAUUCAGCUCAAACUGCUGCAUUGCAGCAAUAUAGGGUGGAGGUGGAGGAUCGUCAGCCAUCCUGCUAAAAACAUCAGGGAGCGAUUUAACAAGGGGUUGAGCAUGUGUACGGAGUCAUUCAUGAUGUAACUUGAACAAUGAGCAAAGGCACAGUAUGUACAAAGCAGUAGUCAUUAAAGACAUACAGAUACAUAUAUAGAGCCAAUUACACAUUGUUAGUAUGAGUUCAGACAAGAGAAUCAUCCUAGACAUACUAGGCGGCACGCUGGCACGCGAUGGAAGGAUACAACAACGAGACAUAGCAAAGGCUACAUCCACGUCGAAGAAAACCACUAGAGCGAGGAAUCUGCAGGGGACGACGCAGGGUGCCCUCGAUAAAAUGAUCCUGCGGCCCGUGAACAAUGUGAAGCAGAUCCUGGCUCCUAAUUCAAGAAAGGCGUAAUACAAAUCUCCGGAUGGAUGUGAUCACGAGAACCUAGGAUAGAGUUAGCAAAAUCAUUUAACCCGAAUAGAAGAGAGAUCAGAAUCCCAGAGUAUAGACGAGGAAUAAAAGAUCCUAAUACCACCCAAUUGGCGACGUGGGCCCGUAAGCCACACAGCCAUGUUAGUAAAUCAGUUUUUCAAAGACUAGAAUCAACUUCGGCCAAGGAGUUGGAAAGGGGGAUCCUACAGGCAGUCGGCUCUGAUACCAACUUGUGACGCCCCUCAUUCAAUCGUACACUAAUCAUACACGCAAAUGUGUACGAUCAAGAUCAAGGACUCACGGGAAGUUAUCACAACACAACUCUAGACACAAAUAGAAAUAAUACAAGCUUUAUAUUACAAGCCAGGGGCCUCGAGGGCUCGAAUACAUAGCUCGAUACACAAGCGUCAGUGGAAGCAACAAUAUAUGAGUACAGACAUAAAGUUAGACAAGGAUGCCUUAAGAAGGCAAACACAAAAACAGCAACGAUCGAAGAGGCAAGGCCUCCUGCCUGGGACCUCCUAACUACUCCUGGUCGUCGGCGGUCUCCACGUAGUAGUAGGCGACGGGGUGGCAUUUGGCUCCUGGGAUCCACCAUCUGGUUGCAUCAACCAGAAAGAAAAAGGAAGGGGGAAAAGGGGUAGCAAAGCAACCGUGAGUACUCAUCCAAAGUACUCGCAAGCAUCAGAUCUAUACUAAGUAUGCAUUGGUAUCAAAUGGAAGGGUUGUAUCUGUGGACUGAACUGCAAACUGCCAGAAUAGGGGGGAAGGCCUAGCCUAUCGAAGACUAGCAUCUUCAAGCAGCUCCAAGCAUCUUGCAGCAUGUAGAAGAGUAAAGAAUAGCAUUUUAUAUUUAACAAACAUGUUGUAGCAUUAAUGCCCAGAGAUCCUUCCUCGACUCCCUGCGAGAAAGCAAUCUAGGAGCCACAUAUCUCAAGUAUCCAUUUCUAGUUGUAAUAGAUCAGGAUAUAAGUAUGAACGUCUGUUACCGUGGACACGGCUAUUAAUAGAUAAUCUUCCCUGCAGGGGUGCACCAUGUUUUCCAACAUGCUUGAUUACUCUGGCCGGACACACUUUUCUGGGUCAAUGCCCGGCCUCGAAAAAUCAACACGUCGUAGCCCUACCUAGGCUCAGCAGAGAGGUCCCCGCCGGUCUACAUCCUAAGCACUCCGGGGUCUGAGCCCAUCGCACGUUGCACUCCGGAUCGUUGCGCGCAGGGCGAUCCAGGCGACCUCCAUUGGGGCGCUGACCAGGCCAUGCCGCAAUGCUAAACUGGACGUCUGACAAAGCUUCGGCUGAUACCACGACGUCGAGGCCCAUAACUAUUCUCGCGUGGUGGUUAGUGCGUAAAGGCCAAAGGCCAACUCAGAACAAAUACCGAAACCAUAGUGUAUUAUUAGUUUGCGGAGACGAGCAGAGACUCACGAUAAUGUGACCCCGUCGCCCCGUCUCGAGGAAAUACGGCAAGGGCUAGCCCAGCCCACUCAGGGGCGGCCUGCCUGCCCGGCUGUGCCUCGUAACCAUCUUGCGUGUGCUCUCCGGGCCCGCCCGACUUUCCCAAGGGUCUCAAGUAAAGUCAAGGUGACCGUGUGUCCAAACAUCAAGGGGAAAACCCGAGGAACCACCCUCGGUGGAUUCCACUCGAUGUAAUCGUCAAGGUGGACGUAAGAGGAACCACCCUCGAGGUUCACACUUGAGGAGUUGCACGACAGAGUCGUAUCGGAAGUGGUUAAAGAGGAACCACCCUCGUUGACCACGACCGAAUAACUAUACUACAGAAAUCUCAUCAGGAGUGAUGUAUGAGGUUCCACCCCCGGCACUCGAUGGUAACUCUGCAGAGUCGAGCAACAAAAGGGGUGUGAUGUGAUCUGAGGUGUCGGGCUCUGGUAACAAGGACAAGGUGGGGUCACUGAUGGAUCACUAACCAACCUAUACUAAGCAGUUUAGGAUAAGCAGGUAAGGUACAAUAAGCAGGUUACAAAAGCAGGCUAUGCAUCAGAAUAGGAGCAAACAAUAACAAUAGCAAAAUCUAAUGCAAGCAUGAGAGAAUGGAAUGGGCGAUAUCGGGAAGAUCAAAGGGGGGGCUUGCCUGGAAGCUCCGCUGAAAGGGAAGAAGGGUCGUCGUCGACGUAGUCGAUCACAUGGGCAUCAACAGCGGUCUAGGGGUCUACCGGAGAGAAGAGGGGGAAGAAACAGUAAAUACAGAGCAAACAAGUGCAUGACAUGACAAUAAGCAGCACUAGGCGUGUUCUAACGCGAUGCUACACGAUACCGACAAAGGGUGAAAACAUCCGAGAAAGCUUUCCCGAAGUUUGGCAUUUUCAGACAAACGAACCGGUGGGGGAAGGUUGCAUGUUCGCUAUGCUAGGGACGUGUGACAGAUGAAUGGACUGCGUAUUUGGAUUCGUCUCGUCGUUCUGAGCAACUUUCGUGUAUAAAACUUUUUCAUCUGAGUUACGGAUUAUUUUCUAUGAAUUAUUAAAGUUUUAGCAAUUUCUAUAAUUAUUAUGAAGUCUAAAAUGGGGUUAUUGCAUCAGCAUGACGUCAUCAUGAUGUCAGCAAUCAAUUGAGUUGACCAGAGUCAACCCUGACGUGUGGGGCCAUUCUAUCAUAGACUAAAAACUAAUUAACGGUUUUAACUAACUAACCAAGGUAAUUAGGUAAAUUCAACAUAGUUAAUUAAGUUAAUCUUACUGAUUAGCUAAUUAAUUGAUUGAUUAAUUUUAUUUAGUAUUAAUUUCGUUCUAAACUGGGGGUGGGCCCCUGUGGUCAGUGGCACAAGGCCACGCCCUAGCUGUGGCACACACACAGGGGGCCAACUAUGGCCAUGGUGUGGCCAGGGGAGGCACUAGCAGCGCCGGUGAGGCCGGCGAGCGAGGGGCGAGACUGGAGGCGGCGCGGCAGUGGCGGCGGCGGUGGUGGCCGCGAGCGGCGAGCAGCAGCGGCUGGGCGUACAGGGGCAGGUGCGGGCGAAGGCGGGAGCGCGACGGGGAGGCUGUUGGCCGCAGCCGGGGAAGGCGAGGCCAGCACGCGGAUGGGGAACGGCCGCAGCGCGGCCAUGGUGGCCAACGGCGCGUGCGGCCACCUACGACGACGGGGACGAGGGGGCGAGGGGGAAUCGGCGAGGGGCUCACAGCGGAGCGUAGGGGAUGNNNNNNNNNNNNNNNNNNNNNNNNNNNNNNNNNNNNNNNNNNNNNNNNNNNNNNNNNNNNNNNNNNNNNNNNNNNNNNNNNNNNNNNNNNNNNNNNNNNNNNNNNNNNNNNNNNNNNNNNNNNNNNNNNNNNNNNNNNNNNNNNNNNNNNNNNNNNNNNNNNNNNNNNNNNNNNNNNNNNNNNNNNNNNNNNNNNNNNNNNNNNNNNNNNNNNNNNNNNNNNNNNNNNNNNNNNNNNNNNNNNNNNNNNNNNNNNNNNNNNNNNNNNNNNNNNNNNNNNNNNNNNNNNNNNNNNNNNNNNNNNNNNNNNNNNNNNNNNNNNNNNNNNNNNNNNNNNNNNNNNNNNNNNNNNNNNNNNNNNNNNNNNNNNNNNNNNNNNNNNNNNNNNNNNNNNNNNNNNNNNNNNNNNNNNNNNNNNNNNNNNNNNNNNNNNNNNNNNNNNNNNNNNNNNNNNNNNNNNNNNNNNNNNNNNNNNNNNNNNNNNNNNNNNNNNNNNNNNNNNNNNNNNNNNNNNNNNNNNNNNNNNNNNNNNNNNNNNNNGAGCUGAGAGGGCCAGUGGGCCGGCUGGCCGCGGUGGGCCGAGGCCCAGGGGAAGGCUAGGGGCACUCCCACCCCUUUUUCUUUUAUUUACUUUUGCUGUUUGAUUUAAUUUUGAAUUUUGAAAUCGGACGUGAUUGAAUCAUCGCGAGGUUAACAACAGUAAUUACGGUGACGUAGCAUCAUUAACGUGGAAUUACUGUAGCAUAAUUAUCCGGGCGUUACACAUCACCCGUGACAGCCUUGCCAAGACCUCCCGCCACAAUGCACCUCGCCAAGCCCAUGGCCGUCGCACACGCCAACACCAGCCUCCACGUUGCUCGCUGGAAAUCCAACUGAGAAGUCUGCCAUCUAGAGCCUCCCGUGCCCAUCCAUGGACCCGAGACUGCUCCCGUCUCAAGCCUGGAUAGAUCCUUCCCCACCCCUGGGUAGCCCACAGGCUCGUGCCCGAACAUGAGCAAGAGCAAAUAAGGACAUAACCGCCCCACCCUGCUUUGAUUGAGCAAAGGGCGACCAUCCCAACGGUGCACGACCAUGGAUCGAGGGAAGGGAUGGAUCUGUGGCCUGCCUGGUUAUAGAUCCACACCCUUGGAGGCGGUUCAAAAAUGGAGUGUGGCCAGGCCAGCCCUACGGCAGCGGUCUGUGCAAACCCGGAUAGGGUUUGGAGGAAAGCCCGACUCAGGCUGACGCCAUCACAAACGGCAGGAAAGGGGAGCACAAUGCCGCAAAGGCAUGCACGAGCACCAUCCAGGUCAGCCCCCUGAACCCGCAUGCCGUCAGACGCCAUCCACCACCAAAUACCAGAUCCACAACGGCCUCCGCCCAACCGACAUGACCACGCCAGGUCACGCCUGCGAGUUGACACCACGAACCUCACCCCGAGAGCAGCAGGCCGCCCCACCGCUGCCCAGAGGACCACGAGCAGCGCCGCCACGCCAGCAUGAGCACACAAGUUGUCGCCUUUUGCACGCCAUGACCUGCAUCAGACGUGUCCGAGCCUCGCCAGCGAGGUGCCUCGCACCGCCCGCAACCAUCAGAUAUGAGCCGAACCCAGACCAGGCUAUCGCCAUGAAGGUGAGGCCGCACUGUGAAGCCGCCCAUCGUCGCCAACCCCCGCCAUGCAUGGCGCCCCUCACCAGCGUCACGCCACUGCUCAAUGUCGUGCGUGAGGAGGAAGAGGCCCCCAUGCCGCCGACACCGGCGAGGCGGCGAGGAGGGGGCAUGGAAGAGAGGAGGUGCGAGGUCCGGAGGGGAAAAUGUUUGUACAAGUUUCCUUACACGAAUCAAACUACAGUACCGAGUUCGUUGGAAAUUUGUAUGCGUGAGUAUUUCACAUGAACCGUGCAUGGGUAUUUCACUGUUUUUACGUACUACUUUCGUCUGUAAAUAGUACUUGUCGAGAAAUAAAUGUAUUUAGAUGUAUUUUAGUUCUACAAACAUUCAUUUUUAUCCAUUUCUUCGAUAAGUAUUUUCGGACGGAAUGAUAUUUCACAUGUUCAAUCAGCUCACAAAGGUCCUUUAUUGUUACGUAACUUGUCAUUACACAUACAAGCACAACAGCUCCGUUAUUCUGCAGCGUAGAUAGCGAGAGACGCAUGCAUGUUUUUAUCCAGGACAGACCACAACUCCACAUCGUUUCUUCAGUAGAUACGUACGCACGCAUGGGUAGGUAUGGGUAUGUGUAUGUCGAUCUGCACGCGUACGUGCACGAGCCAUGCAUGAUGCAUGCACGGCGCGCGCUGGCUGGCUCAGUAGUACGGCUGGAGCUUCCAGCGUUGGUUGUCGCCCUCGCACCACUUCCAGAGCACGACCUCGGUGCCGUCGCGCACGCCGCCGUGGUACUUGUCGCCGUUGAGGGCGUCGAAGUUGAGGUAGAUGUUGUUCACCAUGCGCACACACCUGAAGCCGUUGCCCACGUCCCUGCUCUCCGUCCACAGCACCGACUCGUCCAGGUAGUCUGGGUUGUACGGCACCAGACGCACCUGCAUGCCCGUCGAACACGCUCAGUAAGUUCUGCCAUGGACCCAUGGUGAUUCUUGAAUCUUGAUACCAAUUUAUGGGAAGGCAGAUCAGUUAGGGCAGGGAGACUCUACUUACAGGGUGGGACUGGCCGAGGGAGUGCUUGAUGGCCUGCCCGGUGGCCUUGUUCACCAUGGCGAAGGCGGGGUACCCCUCCUCGUCCUUGAUGCUGGUGCUCCACCUCAUGUCCUUGAUCCAGUGCUGGUAGUCGUCCUUGGGGUUGGCCGGCGCCAGCACCACCUUGCCGUUGCGCACGGACAUGGCGUAGUUGGGGUUGGCGCGGCAGUAGAUCUUCACCGUCGGCUGCGGCGGCAUGGGGCGCCCGCCGCAGUUGCCGUCGAUGUUCACCUGCGACAUGCCGUACGGCACCGGCGCCGCGUACCCGGGCGUCGCCAUCCCGUACCCGCCGUAGGUCUCGCGGUAGUAGUCCAUGGCUAUAUGCUCGAUCUGCGCAAUGCAUGCCGACGGGACGGAGGAAUUUAUAGGGGCGACGGGACGAUCAUAUUCCAUUGGUGUGCUACAAUACAUGGCGUUGGCCUCACGCUGCCUGUCAGGUGAUAAGCGAUGUCGAUGUGCGGGGUGGUGGUGGUGGUGGGAUUCCAUGGGAUAGAUAGAUGAUGCCAUGGGACACUAGCUAGGUGGGGAGAUGUGGGCGUGCCGGACCAAGCUAGAGCGUGAGCUGGCUAGCUUUGCGUGAUUCCAUUUCUUUCUGGUAGUUUUGGGAAGAAGAAUCCCUCUCGUACGUCCUCUAUUAUUGCUGGGGACGAGAUAGCUAGGGGAAGCCGAAUUUUACGCUGUGCUGUGCUUUGUCGCCGCACCGAUACGCCCCUGUUGAGAGUACGUUGUACACUGCAUAUGUAUAGGACUAAGGUCUGUAUUUAUAUCGUUGUAUCUCUCUCUCCCCCGUAUAUUUGUAUAUCUUAGGAGACAAGUAGAGGCCGGUCCACCCUGUAUCUAUAUAUGUGCACCAUGCACACAAUCAAUGAUCAUCGAUUCGUGCAAUCCCAUUCUUCCUAACUAACAUGGUAUCAGUUUAGCACGCCGAUCCCUUUCCCACCUUCCGCACUAGCCGCCGCCGCGCCCUACAGCAGCCGCCGCCGCCUCCCUUGCGCCGCCGCCGCCGCUGCCCUCCUCCCCAAGUUGUCGCCGCGCCCCCCAAACCCUAACCCUACCCCGCGCCGCCGCCACUCCCCCCUCCCACCCGAGCCGCGCACCCCUCCCCUUGCCGCCGCUCCCAUGGCGUCCCCUCAAUCCAGCAACUCCAAUCCGUUCGCCGGACUCGUACCCGACGCCACCGCCGUCCGUGAUCUCGACAUCCACACCCGUGUUCCCAUCAAGCUUGAUCAGUCCACCUCCUCGUACUACGCAUGGAAGACCUACUUCAACCUCGUCUUCCGCGAGUACCACCUCCUCGAGCACGUCGACGGGACCGUGGAUGGCGAUCUCAUGGUGGAUGAUCCGGACUAGGCGGCCAUCGAGGCCUCUCUCAUCCGGUGGUUCUACCUCACCGUCUCCCCGGACAUCUUCCACACGGUCGUCUCGGAGGAUGACGACGCGUGCGCCGUAUGGACCAAGAUCAACAACCUCUUCACCGAUAACAAGCUUCAACGUCUUGUGUUCUUGCAGCAGGAAUUUUUCGGGUGCCACCAAGAUGAUUCCUCCAUCGAUGACUACUGCAUGCGUCUCAAGCGCCUCGCCGAUGAGCUCCGUGAUAUCGGCGCCAAGGUGUCGGACGCGCUCAUGCUUAGCACCCUCACCGCCGGCCUCAAUGAGGACUUCGGCAACGUGGCUUCGAACCUCUCCCUGCUGCCGAACCCGACUUUCCAGUCCGUCACCGCGUACUUACGCUUGGAGGAACAGCGGAUGAAGAAGGUCAAAGCCCGCGUCCACCACACCGCCCUCGCCGCCGGGACAUCUCGCGGGCAGCCGCAGCCCGCCCCGCCCUAACCGCGUCCGCCGGCGCCACCGGGGUACUACCCUCUCCCGCCCACUCCGCCCGCACCUCCCGCUCCUCAGCAGCAGCAGUAGCAGGGCGGGGGCGGCGGCCGCCGCAACAGGCUUGUGGGGGAGGGGGUGGAGGUCGUUCCCAGCAGCAGCAGCACCAGCCGCCAGGGUACGGGGGGGCCCAGCGCCAACAUCAGCCCUCCCCGCCCUGGGCCGUCGGCCCUAACCCGUGGACCGGCGUGGUCCACACGCUUACCACAUGCCGGUCCCACGAGCCCCGGGCAUCCUUGGGCCGCACCCGGCCGGGCCGCAGGCACACCUCGCCGCUGCACCCUACCAGGCGGGUGGGGGCGGCCACGCCCCUGGUGGCUACGCGCCGGGCUUCGCGCCGGGCGGCUACGCGCCUCCGCCGGCGUCCUACGGCUAUGCGCCGCCGCCUGCACCAGCUCCGCCCGGUAGCUACUCGCUCCCUCCGGCUCCAUGGGAUCCCGCUCUGCUCGCUGCACUUCACUCGGCGCCGUCUCCCUCCAAUUACGGAGGUGGCGGUGAUUGGUACAUGGACACGGGGGCUACCGCCCACAUGACGUCGCACCCCGGUAACCUUGCAUCUUCCUUCCCAGUCACCACUUCGAACCGCAUCACCUUUGGUGAUGGUUCCCCCGUACCCAUUACUCAUGUCGGUCAUAGUUUCUUUCCAUCUAAUUCUAUGCCUAUUAACAUGACUAAUGUUCUUGUCUCACCUAACCUAGUUAAAAAUCUUGUCUCCGUUCGUCGUCUUGCACGUGACAAUCCUCUCACCGUUGAAUUUGAUGGCCUUGGUUUCUCUGUGAAGGACGCCCGUACGCGGAUGGUGCUCCACCGAUGUGACAGCCCCGACGACUUAUACCCGGUGCACUCCGCCUCCACCGCCACCGCCUCACCAGUCGCUCUCGCCGCCGGUGUCGACCUCUGGCACGCACGCUUGGGUCACCCCAACUCCACCGUCCUUCGCCAGAUUCUCAAGAGUUUUUCAUUUUCAUGUAAUAAAUUCGACGAGCACACUUGUCAUGCUUGCCGUCUCGGCAAGCACGUUCGUCGACCGUUUAGCGAGUCAAACACUAUUUCUUCUUUUCCGUUUCAGUUAAUCCAUAGUGAUGUUUGGACAUCUCCCGUUGCGAGCAACACCGGUUUCAUAUAUUAUCUUGUUUUACUUGAUGAUUUCUCUCACUUUGCAUGGACGUUUCCGCUCCGUCGCAAAUCCAAUGUUCUCGCCACUCUCACGGCCUUUUACUCCUACGUCACUACCCAGUUCGGGCGCCCUAUCCUCGCCCUUCAGACUGACAACGGCAAAGAGUUUGACAAUGCUGCCACUCGCCAUCUUCUCACCUCUCACGGUACCACUUUUCGUCUCACAUGCCCCUACACAUCUCAGCAGAACGGCCGCGCCGAGCGGAUCCUCCGCACUCUUAAUGACUGCGUCCGCACGUUGUUGUUUCACUCCAACGUGCCCCCUCGGUUCUGGACUGACGCUCUCGCCACCGCCACUCUCCUAGUUAACAUUAGGCCUUGUCGUCCACGCUGGAACUACACACCCCAUCACCUUCUUUUUGGUUCCCCUCCCUCCUACGAUGGUCUUCGCAUCUUUGGAUGUUUGUGUUAUCCCAGCACCGCCUCCACCUCACCACACAAACUCGCUCCUCGCUCCGUAGCAUGUAUCUUCCUAGGCUACCCUCCUAACACCAAAGGUUACCGGUGCUACGACCCCGUCUCCCACCGUGUGUACACCUCUCGACACGUGUACUUUGACGAGCGGGUUUUUCCUUUUCAUCAGGUUCCACCCUCUGCAGCAGACUCGGCGCUCCCUGAUGGUGUCCCGGAUGCGGACUCGGUGAUGCCCCCGGCGCGGCCUCCCCUGGCCCCGGCGCGGCUCCUNNNNNNNNNNNNNNNNNNNNNNNNNNNNNNNNNNNNNNNNNNNNNNNNNNNNNNNNNNNNNNNNNNNNNNNNNNNNNNNNNNNNNNNNNNNNNNNNNNNNNNNNNNNNNNNNNNNNNNNNNNNNNNNNNNNNNNNNNNNNNNNNNNNNNNNNNNNNNNNNNNNNNNNNNNNNNNNNNNNNNNNNNNNNNNNNNNNNNNNNNNNNNNNNNNNNNNNNNNNNNNNNNNNNNNNNNNNNNNNNNNNNNNNNNNNNNNNNNNNNNNNNNNNNNNNNNNNNGCCCUGCAUGGCCCCGGGUGGCCCUUCGGCUUCCACCGCGCCGGGCGACGUACCUGGCCCCGCCCCGGCCGGCUCCACCUCGGCUGGCCCCGCCACUGCAGCCGGCUUCGGUCCCGCUGUAACGCCGGGCGUGACGGACUCUUCAUCACCCCCGUCCGUCAACCCCGCCGCAGCCGACCCGCCUUCCACCGGCAUGGUGACACGGUCCCGCGCCGGCAUCCACCGCCCCAGCACGCGCUAUGCUGCUGACGAGUACGCGUGCGCGGUGUCGACAUCAUCCUCUCCACCGUCGCCCAUACCCUCGUCCGCACGCGCCGCUCUCCGCGAUCCACAUUGGCUCGCCGCGAUGCGCGAGGAGUUUGACGCGUUGCAGCGCAACCGCACAUGGCAUCUUGUGCCGCGACCCCCUCACGCCAACGUCAUCAGUGGCAAAUGGGUGUUCCGCCACAAGACCAACCCCGACAGUUCUCUCGAGCGCUACAAGGCUCGUUGGGUGGAGCGCGGUUUCCGCCAGCGCGCCGGUGUGGACUUCACCGACACCUUCGCUCCGGUUGUCAAACCGGGCACGAUCCGUACGGUGCUUCAGCUAGCGGUCUCCCGGGCCUGGCCAGUGCAUCAGUUGGAUGUUUCCAACGCAUUUCUGCACGGCCAUCUCACGGAGCGGGUCUUCUGCGAGCAGUCGACUGGUUUUGUUGACGCCGAGCAUCCCGACCAUGUCUGCCUGCUCUCUCGGUCCCUCUAUGGAUUGAAGCAGGCCCCCAGGGCAUGGUACCAGCGUAUGGCCGGGUUCCUACAACAGCUUGGGUUUCAUACAACCCGCUCCGAUGCGUCGUUGUUCGUCUAUCAUCAGGGCACUGCCACUGCCUAUCUGCUGCUCUAUGUGGACGACAUUAUCCUGACGGCAUCCUCUCCUGGGCUUCUUCAGCAGCUCACGGCUCGUCUACGUGAUGAGUUUGCCCUCAAGGAUCUUGGAGCACUGCACUACUUCCUUGGCAUUGAGGUCGUUCGUCGUGCCGACGGGUUCUUUCGGCAUCAGCAGAAGUACGCUCAUGAGCUUCUUGAGCGCGCGGGCAUGCUUAGUUGCAAGACCGCGUCCACGCCUGUUGACACCAAGGCGAAGGUUUCUGCUUUGGAGGGUUCCCCUGCGCCAGAUGCGGCGUUCUACCGCUCCAUCGUUGGCGCCCUGCAGUAUCUCACCCUCACUCGGCCUGACCUGCAGUAUGCAGUUCAGCAGGUAUGCCUCCAUAUGCACUCCCCGCGUGAUUCCCAUUGGACUCUGGUGAAGCGUAUCCUUCGGUAUAUACGCGGCACUAUGACCAUGGGGCUCACCCUGACGGCUUCCUCCUCCAUCGACAUGGUCGCCUACUCCGAUGCUGAUUGGGCUGGCUGCCCAGACACGCGUCGUUCUACGUCAGGCUAUUGUGUCUACCUCGGGCCUUCGCUGAUAUCGUGGUCGUCCAAGCGGCAGCCCACGGUCUCUCGCUCGAGCGCCGAGGCGGAGUAUCGGGCAGUGGCUAACGCCGUUGCUGAGUGCUCUUGGCUCCGUCAGCUUCUUCAGGAGUUGCUCUGUGUGGUUCCCAAGGCCACGAUCAUCUACUGUGACAACGUCUCCGCCGUCUACCUCUCCACCAACCCCGUACACCAUCGCCGUACGAAGCAUAUUGAGCUCGACAUUCACUUCGUUCGCGAGCAGGUAGCUCUUGGGAAGGUUCGUGUUCUACACGUUCCUACCACUCAGCAGUUUGCCGAUGUCAUGACUAAGGGACUACCGACCCCAGUCUUUGAGGAGUUUCGGUCCAGUCUCUGUGUCUCCGGCGACGCUUCGACUGCGGGGGGUGUUGAGCGUACGUUGUACACUACAUAUGUAUAGGACUAGGGUCUGUAUUUAUACCGUUGUAUCUCUCUCUCUCCCCCCGUAUAUUUAUAUAUCUUGGGAGACAAGUAGAGACCGGUCCACCCUGUACCUAUAUAUGUGCACCAUGCACACGGUCAAUGAUCAUCGAUUCGUGCAAUCCCAUUCUCCUAACUAACAGCCCCCAUUCACAUUCCCGGUGUGCUCAUGAUGUGCUCGUUUCAAAAGUGAAGAUUUUUCUCUUGAGAAGAACUUGAAAGGAAAGAAAGGAAAAAAUAAAUAUUCGCGCUAGAAAUGGUAAGGUAAAGCGUCAAGACGGAGCGGCCCAUUUCUGGAAUCUGGAUAUAUACCCGCAGCACCCGAGGCGGGCCGGACUUGACUCCGUUAUGUAAAUUAAACAAUUGUACGUGGCCCGGCAAGAAAUAUGGCAUUGGAUUCGUCUAAUCAUUGCCCGGUCUACCAGUACGGCCCAGCGCAAGACAAGAUCUCGAAAUAAAACUUAUUGGGGGGUGCGGAUUAACUGAGCUCGAGCUUGGGUGAAUAGUAAAAUCCCAAAAAAAAUCUAAAAAAAUUGUGGCAACAUUUGAGAAAUGUUUAAAUGCUUGCAAAGUUUCACCACAAAAUGACAUUCGUGAAAGUGUGGCAAAAAAACAAAAUCGAUGCUCCAAAAAAGUUUUUUGUAAGUGAUGAUUUUUUUCCACGAUUGUCAUCUCACGAUGAAACAUUGCAAGCAUUGAAAAUAUUUGUCAAAUUUGUCACACAAAAAUUUCAGAAUUUGUUGCUUUUGUUUACAAUUUUUUCGGAUUUUACUGUUCACCCGAGCUCAUAUGAGUUCGAGCUGAGAAGGGAUCUUUCGCUUAUCAGGUUGUAUAGUUCAAUCAGUUUUCAAGACCUUCAAGGUUAGUUUAGUUUGAGCUGAUAUGGUCUUCUGCCAAAGGGCAUCUUCAACGCUGACUCCCAAAUCGGACACCGUAUUCGUCCGUGGACUGGUGGCUAUCAGUUCGCGGAAAGUGAUGCAGGAGCCGGCCAUCCAACCGUGCCCGCAUACAUUUCAAGCCGGAUUUCAGCAAACCGAAUGAAGUACAUGCAAACCAAAUGAUUUUCAUCUAAACCAGAGCACAUUCAUUAUAUUUUCAACAUUUUUUCAUUAAACUAGCCUUUACAUGUUAGUGCCUCUUCUUAUUCCUUUUUUCUAUUUUGGAGUCGUUUUAAACAUGUUUUGUACUCCCUCUGUAAGGAAAUAUAAGAGCGUUUAGAUCACUAAAGUAGUGAUCUAAGCGCUCUUAUAUUUCCUUAUAGAGGGAGUAUAUUUUAUUCUCACAAUGUUAACUGAAUUUUGAAGGAAAUUUGUAGAUUGCUUAAUUGUAUGGAAAAGAAUCUAGGACUUUUCAUGACCAAUUGCCCUAGUUCUUAAGAAUGGUAUCAUGGUGUAAUGUAAAGGCUAGUAUCACUACAAGAAGGUUGCUACAUGGCAUACUAAUUGCAAAGAGCACUUUCCCUGGACUAGUUAUUCCUGUGGAAAACUUGUCUUGCAAAUCGUUAAAAGGGAAAAAAAAAUAACGGAUUAGCAGAGCAUGUAUUUUUCACGUUCUCACAUUUCAACUCCAUGUUAGAGGCACAACUUGAGCUCAAAGUAUGAUUUUCAAGUAUGGAAUUUAGAUACAUUUCUAAGGAGAGUACACAUUUCUCCCAAAAGACAACCUUUUACAGGAUCUGAGAGAGUUGGCGACUACGACGACAAGUUUGCAUAGGACCAUCAGGUGACUGGUCGUUUUGACACAACAGACUUUAUCCUCAGUCGCGCACCCUCACAACAACGACGAUUUCUGGUAGUUUUUGGAAGAAGAAUCCCUCUCGUCUUGUACGUCCUCUAUUAUUGCUGGGGAGGAAGGCGAAUUUUACGUGUGUUGUCAUUUGUCGCCGCACCGAUACGCCCCCAUUUGCAUUCCCGGUGUGCUCAUGAUGGGCUCGUUUCAAAAGUGAAGAAUUUUCUCUUGAGAAGAGCUCGAAAGGAAAGAAAAGAAAAAAGAAAUGUUCGAGCCUUUUUUUUUUGAGAGAGACGGACAGAAAUGUUCGAGCUACAAAUGGUAAAGUAAAGCGUGAACACUGAACGGCCCAUUUCUGGAAUCUAGAUCAUAUACCCGCAGCACUAGAGGCGGGCCGGACUUGAUUCCGUUAUGUAAAUUAAACAAUUGUAUGUGGCCCGGCAAGAAAUAUGGCAUUGGAUUCGUAUAAUCAUGGCCCGGUCUACCAGUACGGCCCAACGCACGACAAGAUCUCAAAAAACAAACCUUAUCGUGUUACUAAAAAAAAGAAACAGAACUUAUUGUGGGAUGCGGAUUAGCUGAGCUCGAGCUUGGGUGAACAGUAAAAUUCAAAAGAAUUUAAAACAAAUUAAAUUUUCUACAAAAAAUUGUGGCAACAUUUGACAAAUGUUUAAAUGCUUGCAAAGUUUCACCAUAAAUGACAUUCGUGGAAGUUGUGGCAAAAAAGAUCGAUGCUCCGAAAAAGUUUAUUUCUAGGUGAUGUUUUCUUUGGCCACGACUUCCACAAUUGUCAUUUCACGAUGAAACAUUGCACUCAUUGAAAAUAUUUGUCACACAAAAAUUCAGAAUUUUUUGCUUUUGUUUUCAUAUUUUUUCGGAUUUUACUGUUCACCCGAGUCAUAUGAGUUCGAGCUGAGAAGGGCACUUUCGCAUAUCAGGUUGUAUAGUUCAAUCCGUUUUUCAAGACCUUCAAGAUUAGUUUAGUUUGAACUGACAUGGUCUUCUGCCAAAGGGCAUCUUCAACGCUGACUCCCAAAUCGUACACCGGAUUCAUCCAUGGACUGGUGGGUAUCAUUCGGCGGAAAGUGAUGUGGGAGCCGGUCAUCCAACCAUGCCUGCAUACAUCUCAAACCGGAUUUCAACAAACCGAACGAAGUACACGCAAACCAAAUGGUUUUCAUCUAAAUCGGAGCACAUUCAUUACAUUUUCGACAUAUUUUCAUUAAACUAGCAUUUACAUGUUAGUGCCUCUUCUUAUUCCCUUUUUCUAUUUUGGAGUCCUUUCCCACAUGUUUUGUGUAUUUUAUUCUCACGGUGGUAACUAAAUUUUGAAGGAAAUUUAGAAUGUUAUCAUUUCCUUUGCGGGAGCUUUAGAAUGGUAUCAUGGAGUAGUGUAAAGGCUAGUAUCACUACAAGCAGGUUGCUACAUGACAUACUCGUUGCAAAGAGCACUUUCCCUGCACUUGUUAUUCCUGUGGAAAACUUGUCUUGCAAAUCGUUAAAGGAAAAAAAAAAACCGGAUUUGCAGAGCAUGUAUUUUUCAUGUUCUCACAUUUCAACUCCAUGUUAGAGGCACAACUUGAGCUUACAGCAUGAUUUUCAAGUAUGGAAUUUAGAUAUUUCUAAGGAGAGUACACAUUUCCCCCCCGAAAGACAACCUUUUGCAGGAUCUGAGAGAGUUGGCGACUACGACGACAAGUUUGCACAGGACCAUCAGGUGACUGGUCGUUUUGGCACAACAGACUUUAUCUUCAGUCGCGCACCCUCACAACAACGACGAUUGACCAAGAAAUGUUUUUUGAAAGAUCCGAUUGACGAAGAAAUAGCAUUGCAGAAUUUAAGAGAUCAACCCAGUCGCAAAAUCAAGCCUGUUUGAUCUGAGAAAUUGGGCAUGGCAAAAGCUGAUGAACAAGAAAGGCCCCAAUGGGCACCACAAACGUACGAGGAAGGUACUAGAAGAUAGGUGAGCCCAUUGAUUAGAUCGCAGAAAAAUGGAGACAAUGCAGGUCACAGAGUAGCACAGUACAGGUCCCAGUACCAAGAGAAACACAGACGAGUUACUACAUCAAAGUUCAGACUUCAGAAUCAUGGUCCCUCUCCUCACUCUCUCCAACACUCUCUUCUUCCUCGCAGAAACGCCGGCUCAAUCAUUCAAUCACAAGGCGACACACGACGGACGCACACAGACACCAUUGCCACACAUCGCACACGGUUUUAUUUGGACACAGCAACAUUAUUCGCUACCAGCGGCAGAGGACUACUACGACGACGAUGGACGGACGGACGACGACUCGGGGCGGGGGGGCUUGUCCCCGGACUAAUCCAUGGCGAUGUGUCGAUGGCAAUGCGAAAGCUCUCCU